CCGUCACGUCACACACUCUGUUUUGGACUUCUUCUCGAUUAAAAUCUCAUCAUAUCCAAAUACAACUCGUUUUUAAAUUUUGUCUUCGUCUACGCUGUGGCAACUGCCAUUGCAGCGAUUAUAAUUUGAAAAAUCAACUAAAUCUGAUACAAACGUUACUUAUUAGUAGAGACCUUCUCCAAAACCACCCCAAUUUCUUGCCGUGAACGUGAAAAACUAGGGUUUCCGUAAUUGCAAUCGCUACAAUAACUUGCACCAAGAUUGCCAGCCACCUUCUUUAUCCAAUGCAAUGCAAACUUCUUCCUUCCUUCCAAUUAGUAGAACCAUUCAACUUUUUUCCACUCGCCGAGCUCCUUUCACCACGCUUUUGACUCUCUACAAAUAGAAAUAUUCAGUCAAAGUGGCUGUCGCUUUUCGUCGAAUACUUGGGCUGCAUAUAACACAAUUAUUAAUAUUAAUAUUAAUAUUAAUAUUAAUAUUAUUAUUAGUAUUAGUAUUAGUAUUAGUAUUAGUAUUAGUAUUAGUAUUAGUCUCUCACGAAAUUUGAAGAAAGCACUCUGUUUAUAACUUUAUAUAGAUGCUUCUCUUUAUUGCUCAUUUUUAAAAACGAAACUGCAAUUUCAGGUGAAACAUGUGUGUGCUCCUCUCUCUUGAUUGUACGUCAAUCAAAUUCAAUUAUUGUAAGACUUAAGCAAACAUGUAUAAAGCAAGAUUCGGUGAGCAUGGCCAUGAAUCCAUGGAGGAGCAACCUUACGUUGAAACUGAUCCCAGCGGUCGUUAUGGUCGAUUGGAGGAGGUGUUGGGGAAGGGCGCGAUGAAGACGGUGUACAGGGCGAUUGAUGAGAUGCUCGGGAUGGAGGUAGCCUGGAACCAAAUCAGGCUUGUCGACUUGCUUCAAUCCUCAGAGGACUUGGAGCGUCUCUACUCCGAGGUUCACCUUCUCAGCACCCUCAAUCACGUCUCAAUCAUCCGAUUCUACACUUCUUGGAUUGAUGUCAAGAACAGAACUUUCAAUUUUAUCACCGAAAUGUUCACAUCGGGGACCCUGAGAGAGUAUAGGGCGAAGUACAAACGAGUGAACAUCCGGGCUAUAAAGAUAUGGUCUCGGCAAAUACUUGAAGGCCUUGUAUAUCUGCACAAUCACGAUCCUCCAGUGAUACACAGAGACCUCAAGUGUGACAACAUAUUCGUUAAUGGUCACCUCGGAGAAGUGAAGAUUGGUGAUCUUGGAUUGGCAGCAGUUCUCCGAGGUAGAGCACACAGUGUUAUAGGUACGCCUGAGUUCAUGGCACCUGAGUUGUAUGAGGAGAACUACAAUGAGCUCGUCGAUGUGUACUCGUAUGGAAUGUGCAUCUUGGAGAUGAUUACUUCUGAGUAUCCAUAUAGUGAAUGCACGAAUCCUGCUCAGAUAUACAAGAAAGUGAUAUCAGGUAAGAAGCCAAGGGCAUUCUACAAAGUUCAAGACUUGGAUGCACAGAGAUUCAUUGGGAAAUGUUUGGAGACUGCAUCGAAGAGGCUGUCCGCGAAGGAGCUGAUGCUCGAUCCGUUCCUUGCUGUUGAUGAAGCUGAUGAGCGCUCUGACUCAAGCAUCAGGUGCCAAAAGCCUUUCUUGAACGAGAAGAUCUCACUCGAGCACCUGGAGCUGAACGAUGACGAUGCUCCGAGAACUAACAUGACGAUCACUGGAAAGUUAAACCCCGAGGAUGGUGACAUCAUUCUCAAAGUGCAGAUUGCUGAUAAAGAAGGUGCUGUAAGGAAUGUUUUCUUUCCCUUUGAUAUCGUGAGUGAUACUCCAAUUGAUGUGGCAAAUGAGAUGGUGAAGGAGCUCGAGAUUAUGGACUGGCGGCCAUCAGAGAUAGCCAACAUGAUUGACGGGGAGAUUUCGGGUCUUAUUCCGGAUUGGAAGGCUGAGAAUCCUCAUUCAGCUCAUCUUCAUGUACUGAACUAUCAAGAAGAUGAUUAUGAUCACCAAAACCUUUUCUCGCCAUCCUCGUCUUCUCAAAUGUCCGCCUUGGGCUCUAUUGCGUCUCACAGGACAGCUGAGGCGAAGCCUAGCUGGAUACAAGGUGACUUUUUUGAUGAGACCAGUUCCCAGAGCUCCACACAUUCUGAGAAGUAUUCUAACUGGGCUUACUACUCUGCAGAUGAAAACGAACACGAACAUGUAGUAAGCCCAAAUUCAAGGUUCUAUCCCGGAAAUAAAUCAGCCAUGGGGGUAAAAUACUCCGCGGAAACCCCUAGGCUUACUAGGAAUCGGUCUUUAGUAGAUACUCGGAGCCAGCUGCUGCACCGGUCACUAGUGGACGAGGUUAACAGAAGGCGAUUGUUCAAUACCGUUGAUGCAGUAGAGAAUAUAGGGUUCCGAUCUCCUUAUGAAGGUUUGAGUAAAACUCCCAAAACACUCAAUGGUGCUUAUCAGGUUAGGCUCACGGAUCAUGCUAAAAGACAAGAACACAGAGCACGUAGAGGCUAGCUGUGUCGCUCUAGAAUCCGUAGAUGCCUACACGAAGUCCCACGACAUCAUUCGUGUGUGUAGUUGGUGUUUUUAUCGAGACGGUGUAUUUCAUCGGAUGUAGCAUCGAGCCGGGGUGGAAGGGACCAGGCCAUAUAAGACAGCUAUGUUUCCACAUUCAUUCAUCAAGCAAAGAUGAUAGAACCUCUAAAAAAAAGAUGAUAGAAAAUUUGGGAUUUGAUGCUAAUAAUUGAGAGCCCUCCACUUUUUCUUUUUCUUUUUCUUUUUGUCUAUUUUGAUGAUGAAUACAAUCAACUUUGAUUUUACUAAUGUGCAACGUGAAAUUAUUAGCUUUUUGAAAUUUA